rnacentral:rRNA from 1 species
GAUGAACGCUGGCGGCGUGCCUAAUACAUGCAAGUCGAGCGAACAGACGAGGAGCUUGCUCCUCUGACGUUAGCGGCGGACGGGUGAGUAACACGUGGAUAACCUACCUAUAAGACUGGGAUAACUUCGGGAAACCGGAGCUAAUACCGGAUAACAUGUUGAACCGCAUGGUUCAACAGUGAAAGACGGUCUUGCUGUCACUUAUAGAUGGAUCCGCGCCGCAUUAGCUAGUUGGUAAGGUAACGGCUUACCAAGGCAACGAUGCGUAGCCGACCUGAGAGGGUGAUCGGCCACACUGGAACUGAGACACGGUCCAGACUCCUACGGGAAGCAGCAGUAGGGAAUCUUCCGGAAUGGGCGAAAGCCUGACGGAGCAACGCCGCGUGAGUGAUGAAGGUCUUCGGAUCGUAAAACUCUGUUAUUAGGGAAGAACAAAUGUGUAAGUAACUAUGCACGUCUUGACGGUAACUAAUCAGAAAGCCACGGCUAACUACGUG